rnacentral:snRNA from 1 species
GUAUUCACUUUGGCAGCACAUAUAUUAAAAUUGAAAUGAUACAGAGAAGAUUAGCAUGACCCCUGAGCAAGGAUAACACACAAAUUCGUGAAGCAUUCCAUAUUUAA